rnacentral:rRNA from 1 species
UACGGGGGGGGCAAGCGUUGUUCGGAAUUACUGGGCGUAAAGGGCUCGUAGGCGGCCAACUAAGUCAGACGUGAAAUCCCUCGGCUCAACCGGGGAACUGCGUCUGAUACUGGGUGGCUUGAAUCCGGGAGAGGGAUGCGGAAUUCCAGGUGUAGCGGUGAAAUGCGUAGAUAUUGGGAGGAACACCAGUGGCGAAGGCGGCUCACUGGACCGGAACUGACGCUGAGGCGCGAAAGCGUGGGGAGCA